GACUUUGGUGACACAACAAGGACCAUCCUGCAUGUGGGGUCAGGCAGUGGCCACGUGCCUGUUUGUGGGUCAUGUCACAGAUGUUUUGCUCCGUGCCCUGAGCCUCCUUCUCCUGCUGUGUGAACCUCUCCACGAGGCACAAGCUGGCCUAUGGAUUGGGGACUUGGAAAACAUCUGUGUCCAGCUCCAUGGAGGGCAGAGGGGACCAGGAGAAGCAGCAGCCCAGCUCCUGGUGAAGGUGAUCUACAGUGAGGCACAGGCAAGACCUUCUGAUGAAACCUGAACCAGGCAGUUGGAGUCAGGUGCAUCUGGACAUCUCCACACAUCCAUUUGCAGUGGAUGGAAGCCUUGGAGGGUGUAUCACCCAGGCAAAGCAAGGGAAUGGGAAGCAACACCAGCACGAUGAAUAAAUUCCAUAAUAUAUCUAUUUUUUCCUGGAAUCACAUCCUACAGACUGUGCUUGCUCUUCACCUUCUGCUCUCCAGCUUCUGAGUGGUGAACUGGUACAAACUCCACAGAAAACACGUUUCCACCCUUUUAUUUUCAAGGGCAGGUAUUGCAGCUUCCAGGAGGACUGGAAGGGCGAGCAAAGUUGUUUUCUCCUUGGGAGAUUGCAAAGGUGAAACUUUAUAUCUCGCAGCUGCCUCAGUCAUUCUCUCGAAGGCAUGUUCACCUCACUCCUCCAGCAGCACAGACCCAGCACUGCCCUCCUGGCACUGCUUGUGCUGUACUUGAGCUGAGCUCAUCAAGGACAAGACCAUCUUGGGCUUCUGUUGGAAAAGAGGGGUCGAUGCCUCAGCUGCAAAGAAAAGGAACUGAGUCACAGCAGAGGUUGCUGGAGAGAGGAUUUUUAAAGUACAUCAUUUUCUGUUUCCAAUUCUGGUAAGGAAACAGGCAAUUGCUACCUUUAAAAAAUUAAAUGCCGUGAAAUUUCAAGCUCUCUUUGUUUCUCAUAAACAUCUUGCGACUUGUGACAGAGGUUGCUGGAAAUGUCCCCUCAGAGCAGUGCCAUGCUGGCCCAGAAGUGUUUGAUCUGUGCUCUGACCUUUUCUUCGUGUGGGUUGGACUGGUCUCCAGUCAGAUAAUAAAAUCAUCCGGUCAAUUGAGUUUUAAAAAAUAAA